AGAAAUGCACUGAAAGCACAUGGAAGGCAGGGCUGGGAUCCCUUGGCCAUCCAGCGCUGCAGCUUUUGGUCCCUCUUUGCUGCAUUAACCCCGGGUGAUGCUGCUGCAGCCUUUCCUUCACGUUCCUCUGCUUCUCUCUCAGCCCAAUUAAUCCCUCAGGGGGACGCUGCCGUCACAAACAAGAUUUAAGGGAAUUUAACGCCAAGUUGGCAGGCCUGGAGAGGAAAGGCUGGUGCUCCCUGGGAGAAGCGAAGCACCAGGAGCUGCUUCCCCACCUUGCCGGGAGCUGCUGGGGCUCAGUGUGCGUGGAACUCGCUGCUCACCUUCUCAACGAGCUGCUAACAAGGGAGCCAAUUAGUGCCAGUUGUGAUGGGAGCACUUUUUCCACCAGGAGCUGGAUUGAAACCUUUCAUUCGUUUUGCACAGGCAGAGGAACACAAAAUGUUCAAGCAUGGAUAAAAUCCACAAGUUGUGAAGGUUUAGGAUACCCCCAUGGAUUUUAGUCUUUGUUUCAGACUUGCAGCUUUCAUUAAAAAAAUAAAAGAAAUAAAAAGCAGAGAGGGGAAAAAGAGAAAGGUUUCUUGCCCUUUUGAUGAUGAAACUAAUUCUCCUCAUCCAAACUAAUACCAGCCUUUCUUGAAUGACUCAUGCUGAAAUGGUCCCUUGGUGGUCUGGGACCUUGGAAUAAUGAGUUGCCAAGGUUGGACAUCAGUCCCUGCUGCUGGGGGCUCUGGGGACAGCCUGCCAGCCCCUGCCAGCCUCCCAGGCCCUGUGACAUUCCCACACAGAGCAGGAGAACCAAGGAGCUCUGUGCUACUGUCCUCCAGCUCUGUAAGAUCCAGGGGGAGCAGGACACGGAUGGAGAGCCCCUCCACCACUGCCUCUGUCCUGAGGGGCCCAGCAGGGUCUGCCAAGGGUGCCUGCUCCUCAGUUCCAUUCCAUCCCAUUCCUAUGUUGGAAGGGCUUUGAGCUGCUUCUCUGCCUUUUGCUUGGACCUCUGCAGGGUUAGAGAGAAGACAAAUGCUCGUCUCCUUCCAGGACCUGGUUUCUCAGCUGGAGAUAGAUUUUUGGAUGAUGCAGAAGGUCCCCCAAAGCUGUGCAGAACAGUCCCAGAGGAGGGUUAACAGCACCCAGAGUCCUGCCAGAGGUUCUGCAGCUCUGAGCAGCUCCGUGGAGUUCCCAUCCCCAGGCUUGGGAGCAUCACCACUGCCUUGAAGAAGGCUGGACUUCAUCUAGAUCACUCAGUCCUGCCCUAAAGACUAAAGAUCUUCUGGAGGGGUGAAGUUUCCUUUCAAAGGAGCCAUCAAACACAGCUCACACCCCGACAGGAAGGGAUCAUCUUCCAGUGAGGUAAACGGGGAUGCAGGCUCCCCCUGUGCUGCAGGUGAGUCACCAGGCAAAUGUUCCUGAAACCUCCUGUCAAACAGAUUUUACAUUAAAGGCACCAUCAGAGGGCAGAAAGUGCUUUUCUCAGGGCAUUUAUUAAGUUCUGCAGCUAAUUAAUCCAAGUAUUUACAAAAGAAAUGCUUGGCAAUACACAGAGUUCAGCCGAGUUCAAGGAAUGAAAGAAAAUAUCAGAUCAGGGAACCUGCACAUCUGAGUCCAUGACAGAUCUCCUUAGCAGCAAAUCCCAGCAAGAAACCUUUCUGGUUUCCCCCUCAAGUCAAAUCCUUUGUGUCAAACCCUAUUUUUAACUCAGCCCACUGAGCUCGUGAGGGUGAAAACCCCAUGCAAGGACCCUGGGUUCUGCACCACUGCUUUUAAUGGAAAUGCACUGGGGAAAGAUCAUCCAGUGCAGCUGGAGGUGCAGAGGAAGCAACACAGAAAUUCUUCCUCAAACACACAAAAGUUGUGCUUGGAUCUCCCACUGGUACCUCAGGAGCCUGGUUGUUUGCAGCUCUCCAGAUCUUUCACUUUUCUGUUUUUUAAAAGGAGGGUUAUAUUUUCUUUUUUUUCCCAGUCAUCAGGAACUUUACCUGGCUGCCACAAUUUUUCCAAAGUGAUAGAUAGUGGAUUAGGAACUCCAUCUGCCAGAUCUCUCAGUGGUUCCUUGGAGGAGGUGAUCUCUGGAUUUGAAUGGAAAGGAGGGAAAUUUAGGCUAAGUAUUGGGAUAGCAACAGAUGGAUGAGGAUAAAACAUCCUGGGAGCAAACUGACACUGGGCUUGGAGGAGAAAGAAGAAAGAGAGGCUGUAACAGGCUAGUGGUUUAAGAAAAAGCAGCAGCCACCAGUGCAAUCCCAGAGCUCAGACUCCACAGGAUCAACAACUGCCCCUCACCCUCUGUGCCAAGCAGGACUGAGCCCUACCUGGAUCUUUUCCAGGGGGGAACUGGCAGUCAAAUUACAUUCUUUGUUAGUUCCCUGGUUUUAUGGGGCUUCUGUAGGUUCAGUAAUUUUUUUAGCUAUAAAGUGCAACUUUGGGCAAUGAACAAGGCCCUUUACAGAGUUCUGGCUGGACUGUGUGGGAUUUAAAAGCUGAGCAGACUUGGGAACAGUAGGAAGGAUUACACAGACUGCCUCUUCAUGAAGAUGCGGCAGAACGUCCCCAUGGAGCUUCCAGUAAGGAAGGGAAAGCAAAGCCUUACUCUAAUAAACUCUUCGAUUUCAGCAC
ensembl:lncRNA